GAUCUGCCCGCCUUGGCCUCCCAAAGUGCUGGGAUUACAAGCUUGAGCCACCGCGCCCGGCCUGGUAAGCACUUUUAAUCAAUACAACAGGAAUAAACAUUUGCUGCUGAGCGGCAAUGUUCAGGGAGGAACAUGCUUCCACUCAGGCUCAGAAAGCAAAACCUCCUGGCUGUUUGCAUCUGUGCGAGAGCUCGCAGGAAAAGCCCUCUGUGUGGCUGCCAGCCUCACACUCUCCCCCUAAGGGGUGAGUUUCUCUUUCCAUGUUAAUCUAUGCCCUGACGUGCCAUCUGUCAACCACCACACCAUUCUCAGUUGACAUUUCAAAGCAUCUUUGCCCUGUGAAUGGUCACCAGCCCUGCCCUGCAAUCCCCCAGCUGACAUUGAACUUAAAUGAGAGAGAAAACAGGUUUCGGGGUGGAUUUCAGUUCAGCAUCUUUGAACCUCUGUGUGGACAUGAAAUCUGUCUCCCCAGCUGUGGGCUGCAUCCUUGUUUGUCAUCUGGUUUUGUUUUUGAGGACUUGGAAACUCGUGGGCACCUUUGCAAUUUGUCAAGAAGCUGCACGGCCCUUCCAACAAAAGCAAGCAAUAGGAACAGAAGCCCAAGGCAUCAGAUCAAGGAUCACCCUGGCUACUUGAAUGGAUGAUAAGAAGGUAAGAGCAGAAGAAAGGAGACCAGCAGUGAGAUUCUGCAGGUGGGAGUCCACAGUGGCUCAGACCAGGCUGGCGCUGAAGACCGGCUGGAUUCUGUAUAUAUCUUGAUGAUGAAGCAACUCACUGACUCUUGAAGAAUGGGCUCUAGGAGACAGUAUUUUUAACAAGCUCUCAGAGGAUUGUAAUGCAGGCUGAAGUUGAAGAACUCCUGAUUUAGGUGAAACUUCUGUUUCAUCCUUGGAGAAGUACCUACUGACUUUUCUCCAAGCCACCUCAAAAGAGGCGCUAGACAAGAUUGGCUCCAAUGUCUGAACAUGUGUGCACAGCUCUAGAGCCGACCUCAGGACACUGAGUCAAAGGUUAGGAGUACAACAGUGAACAACCACCAUCCUCUUUUCAAUGAGCUUUGCAUUUAAUGAGAGAAAUAAAAAGCAAAAAAAAAAAAUCAUUUUCAACUCAGAAUGGUA
rnacentral:lncRNA from 1 species